rnacentral:rRNA from 1 species
GGGUUGUGAGGUUAAGCGACUAAGCGUACACGGUGGAUGCCCUGGCAGUCAGAGGCGAUGAAGGACGUGCUAAUCUGCGAAAAGCGCCGGCGAGGUGAUAUGAACCUUUGACCCGGCGAUGUCCGAAUGGGGAAACCCAGUGCAAUUCGUUGCACUAUCGUUAACUGAAUACAUAGGUUAACGAGGCGAACCGGGGGAAC